rnacentral:rRNA from 1 species
UACGUAGGUGGCAAGCGUUGUCCGGAUUUACUGGGCGUAAAGAGCGCGCAGGCGGUUGUUUAAGUCGAAUGUGAAAGCCCCCGGCUCAACUGGGGAGGGUCAUUCGAUACUGAUCGACUUGAAGGCAGGAGAGGGAAGUGGAAUUCCGGGUGUAGUGGUGAAAUGCGUAGAUAUCCGGAGGAACACCAGUGGCGAAGGCGACU